rnacentral:rRNA from 1 species
AGUGAACGCUGGCGGUAGGCCUAACACAUGCAAGUCGAACGGCAGCACAGUAAGAGCUUGCUCUUACGGGUGGCGAGUGGCGGACGGGUGAGGAAUACAUCGGAAUCUACUUUUUCGUGGGGGAUAACGUAGGGAAACUUACGCUAAUACCGCAUACGACCUACGGGUGAAAGCAGGGGAUCUUGGACCUUGUGCGAUUGAAUGUGCCGAUGUCGGAUUAGCUAGUUGGCGGGGUAAAGGCCAACCAAGGCAACGAUCCGUAGCUGGACUGAGAGGAUGAUUCGCCACACUGGAACUGAGACACGGUCCAGACUCCUACGGGAGGCAGCAGUGGGGAAUAUUGGACAAUGGGCGCAAGCCUGAUCCAGCCAUACCGCGUGGGUGAAGAAGGCCUUCGGGUUGUAAAGCCCUUUUGUUGGGAAAGAAAAGCAGCAGGUUAAAACCCCGCUGUUCUGACGGUACCCAAAGAAUAAGCACCGGCUAACUUCGUG